rnacentral:rRNA from 1 species
CAGUAGCCGCGGUAAUACAGAGGGUGCGAGCGUUAAUCGGAUUUACUGGGCGUAAAGCGUGCGUAGGCGGCUAAUUGAGUCGGAUGUGAAAUCCCUGAGCUUAACUUAGGAAUUGCAUUCGAUACUGGGAAGCUAGAGUAUGGGAGAGGAUGGUAGAAUUCCAGGUGUAGCGGUGAAAUGCGUAGAGAUCUGGAGGAAUACCGAUGGCGAAGGCAGCCAUCUGGCCUAAUACUGACGCUGAGGUACGAAAGCAUGGGGAGCAAACAGGAUUAGAUACCCGAGUAGUCCCUGUCUCUUAUAC